rnacentral:tRNA from 3 species
CAUCAGAUGACUGAAAGUAAGUAUUGGUCUCUUAAACCAUUUAAUAGUAAUUAACAACUACUUCUGAUGA